ensembl:lncRNA ALOX12P2 arachidonate 12-lipoxygenase pseudogene 2
CAGAGGGCCCAAGACCAGGGGUUCCUCAUCUCCUUAGAGUCCCGGGCUCAGCUCUGCCACUUUGUCACCAUGUGCAUCUUCACAUGCACAGGUCAGCAUGCUUCUAACCACCUGGGCCAGCUGGACUGGUACUCCUGGAUCCCUAAUGGCCCAUGCACCAUGCAGAAGCCCCCGCCCAUCUCUAAGGAUGUGACAGAGAAGGAUAUAGUGGACUUACUGCCCAAUCUCCACCAGCAUGAGGAGAAAUAUUUCUCUGGUCCUGAGCCCCAAGCUGUGCUGAGACAAUUCCAGGAGGAACUGGCUUCCAUGGACAAGGAGAUUGAGGUCCGGAAUGCAGUCCUGGACCUGCCCUGUGAGUACCUUUGACCCAGCAUGGUAGAGAACAGCGUGACCAUCUGAGAGGCCUUGCCCGCCUCAGCUCCAAAGCUCCACCAUCCCUGAGUGCCUUUGAGUAUUCCGUCCUCCUCACAUCCUCUGGUGAACAAAUUGUCCCCAAAGCUUUGUGGUCAGGGUAUCCAGAGCUGCUCACCACACAACUAUGGGGAAUACACAGUGAUGGUCCCCAUUGCAUUUGGAAGUGGCAUCCCCCAAAGCUGCCCUACCUUAAAUGUCCAUCCAGUCCUGCACUUCCUCACCCCGAUCCCUGCACACCUCCUCAUUGCCAAAGGACCUGGCUUAGAUACAAGUAAAAAUAUAUGAUUAAAUAACAAAA